CAGCUGUGCAAGAGUUGCAAAGGAGAAGUACCCAGGGUGAUGAAAGAGGGGAAUUCACUGGGUGGAGGAGUCAGGACCAAGGAUGCCUCCGCAGGAAGUGAUACUUGAGCGGAGAUUUGAGGGAUGAAGAAGAGUUUGCUGGACUAAAACCAUGCCGCGAAGAGAAGCCCUGGCAGAAAGAACCGAAGUGUAAAGACCCUGAGGAGGGCCAGAGCUUAGUAUGUAGAAGGAAGCGGAAAAGGCCAGUGUGAGGAACUCCUGAGCAAGAAGGGUCGGAGACUGAGAGGAAGGAGAGGUCGGCGGGAGCAGAUCUCCAGGACCUGGGAAUCCUGAUGGAGGUAUUAUGCGGAUCACCUUGUUACAGAUGAGGAAGCUGAUGUUCUGAGAGGGCCAAAGAUCAUACAGCUAGUGAUGGGCAGAGCAAGACGCCAGCCUGUGCCUGUUUGAGUCCAAAGGUUAUCCUUUAACUGUUUCGUCUCACAGAUCCCUACAAGUCCCAGGCGCCCCCAGUACAUAGCUGCAUAUUCCAGUUGUGAGCACCUCUGGUUGUGCUAUGUGGGACGCCGCCUCAGCAUGGCUUGAUGAGCGGUACCAUGUCUGCGCCCAG
rnacentral:lncRNA from 1 species